AUGGAGCAAAAUAAGGAGAAAAAUACCCCUUGGUUAUCAGUACCACAGUUUGGAGAAUGGGAUCAGAAGGGUCCAUUGCCGGAUUACUCGAUGGAUUUUUCUAAAAUCCGAGAAAUGCGUAAACAGAAUAAGACUAAUGCGUCGAGAGCUAGUCUUGGUAAUGAGGAAGAGUUUACAACUUCUGUUCAGAAAGAUACAAAAACUAAUGACAGUGAGAUCCAACAUCCUCACUAUCACAAAACUAACUCUUCAGCUACAAGGAGGAGCUUCUUGAGCUACUUCAACUGUUGCAUAAAAGCCUGA